rnacentral:miRNA from 1 species
CUCUGAUCGCCCUCUCAGCUC